rnacentral:rRNA from 1 species
UUGCUUAUUUAUUUAUUUUAACAUUAGUUUAUAUGUAAUUUUUUUUAUUUUUUUUUAUUUCUUAAAGAUUUUUAAAAAUAAAUGUUUGGCAGUAGAUAAUAUUAUAUUGAGUUAAGUUAAUUUAGAUUUAGUAAAUGUUAUUUAGAUUUGGAAAAUUUUGUGCCAGCAUCCGCGGUUAUACAAUUAAUUCAAGUAAAUAUUUUUGGUUUUUGAGUAAUUAUUAUUAAUAAAAUGUAUAAAAAUUGGAAUAUUUUGAGAUGAAAUACAUAUUAUAUUUUGAAUUUGUAUUAUUAUAGUAUAAAUAUUAUGAAAUUGAAAUUAUAAACUAGGAUUAGAUACCCUAUUAUUUUUAUUGUAAAACAUGUAAACUAGAGUAUUUGUAGAUAUGAUCUUAAAACUUAAAGAAUUUGGCGGUAUUAUAGUCUAUUUAGAGGAAUCUGUUAUGUAAUUGAUAUUCCACAUUGAACCUUACUUAUAUUAAUUUUUAUAUAUCGCUGUUUUAUGAAAAUAUUUUUAGAUUUUGAAUUUUCGAAAGUUAAAAUUAAUUAAAAUUUCAAGUCAAGGUGUAGUUAUUUAUAAGUUUAGUAAUGGGUUACAAUAAAUUGAAUUUAUUAUGAAUGUUUAUUGAAAUAUAAUUUUGAAGGUGAAUUUAAUUGUAAUUUUUUAAAGAUUGUAAAAAUGAUUAUUAGCUCUAUAAUAUGUACACAUCGCCCGUCACUCUCAUUAUUAAGAUGAGAUAAGUCGUAACAAAGUAGAUGUAUCGGAAGAUGUAUCUAGAAUGAUUAGUC